rnacentral:rRNA from 1 species
CCUACGGGAGGCUGCAGUGAGGAAUAUUGGUCAAUGGACGAGAGUCUGAACCAGCCAAGUAGCGUGAAGGAUGACUGCCCUAUGGGUUGUAAACUUCUUUUAUCAAGGAAUAAAACGAGGCACGUGUGCCUUUUUGCAUGUACUUUAUGAAUAAGGAUCGGCUAACUCCGUGCCAGCAGCCGCGGUAAUACGGAGGAUCCGAGCGUUAUCCGGAUGUAUUGGGUUUAAAGGGAGCGUAGAUGGGUUGUUAAGUCAGUUGUGAAAGUUUGCGGCUCAACCGUAAAAUUGCAAUUGAUACUGGCAGUCUUGAGUACAGUUGAGGUAGGCGGAAUUCGUGGUGUAGCGGUGAAAUGCUUAGAUAUCACGAAGAACCCCGAUUGCGAAGGCAGCUUACUAAACUGUGACUGACAUUGAUGCUCGAAAGUGUGGGUAUCAAACAGGAUUAGAUACCCCUGUAGUC